AGAUGACUAUGAAAUAAAUAUCUCCUGACCUGAAAGGUGCAGCAUUUCUGAUCUCAGAGAAUUUAUGGAAGAAGCUGAAACUCUUUGGUUACCAAAUAUGAUGGAAACAGACCACAUCUCUUCCUAACAAAAAAGACUCCAGCAGCUGCGUUAGCAAAGCCACUGCCGCUGUGGUUUUCAAGUUGUUGCUUAUUCCGAACACUAGAGGGCAGUGGUGACUCACUCAACUCUUCUCCCUUCCGGGUCUUUGAAAAUGCAGUGUGGUGCCAGCAACUUUUCAACUUUCAAUGGGCAGGAAUGGAGUGGAAAAUAACUGUUCAAAAGUCUGUGUUUUGAGAGAGAGAGGUUAAAAAUAUUCUCUGCAGAACCUACCAAGAGAAAGAGGCAAAGCGGCUAAUCUCUGUCUCAAGCCUGUUAACCGUCCUGCUCCAGAAGUUGUCAUGAGUUCAAACUCCAUCACUUGUUGAGACGCACGCCAGAAAUGAAGUUUGUAAAAUAGGAGGUGGCUGGUUCCAACCCUGUGUUUGAACACACUGUUUUCUUUUGACUCAUUUUUGUUGUUACCUGAUGAAACAGGUUUGUGGCUAUCAGAAAGGCAAUCUGGGCUGUAAACACUGAUUAAACGGAAUAUGUUCAUUUGGACAUAAUGAGGCAAGACAAAAAGGAUUAAAAAAAAAAAAAAACAAGGGCGGUGAGAAUAUAAGACCUUCUCAAACGGAGUUGAAAAUAAAACAGCAGACUCUCUUCUUAUCUGUAUGAUCCGUGCUCCCAGUGCUUUGAGGCACUGGGGAAAAAUAAGCAACAGCGGCAAAAACAACUGAAAAAAAUUUAAAGAGACACCAAUAUUUGAUGUGGAGCAUUGAGGUGAAGGGAGCUACCAGUUAAAGGCUUUGCUGAUGAAUCAAUUAGGUGUGACCAGGAUAAUCAAAGCAACAACAAACAUGGGUCAGUGUACAAUCUGCUUGGUCCAUAAUUAUUUUUCCAUCACAGGUCGUCCAUUAAUAUUCUGGAACCUGAUUUACAGUGUACCUCUCUAUUCCAAGUCCUGCCAUGAGGUAACUGAAAUUUUCACUUGACUUCCAUUUCCUGAAUGCCUUCUAGCCAGUGAUUCCUUCACCCUCAGUUCUGUCCAUCCGCUCCAUUAUGCCUUGGACCUUGCCUCACCUUGAAAUGGCUGACUUACACAUCCUUUUUUGUGUAUGACUUCUUAUCUUUCCAGUCACUCUAGCAAAUAUCCGCACUCCAUCUUUCCUUUCACCUCCUCCUGAAAUGUGCAACAUUUUCUCUGUCCACCUUCUAUUUUGACUUCGUCACAAAUCAGUUUUGGUUUCACUAACCAACAGGUAGUUGCUUUCCUCAUUGCUCUUCUAAACUCCUUUGGUGUGUUGUCCUUUGGAAACCCAUCUUCAGUUCAUUCUCUCUGAUCUUCCCUCUGCCUGGCUUCCAACCCUCCCACAAUCCUUCUCUGACACAUUCUUCGCUUAGAAAACAUGUGCUCCACCUUUUAUGGCUUAGAUAUUUCUUCUUCAGGGAAGCCUUCUCAGAAGCCCCUGUACUGUAGGACCCUAUUAGCUUCCCCUCACACAGUCCUUCAAACAUCUCUUAUUUCCCCUUGACCACUAGGCAUUUUGGUAACCACAGGUUCAUUGCCUUAUCUUUCCCAGGGUUGUCUCUAAGCACCCCAACUGGAGGGACUGCAAAAUCCCAGCACCUGCCACUGUAUAUAUCAGGUCUACAGUAGCUACUGAAGAAAAGUUUGUUGAAUGAAUGAUAUACGACUUUGGGCAUCAAUAAGAUGAUUUUAAUGUCUCUCAGGAAAACUUAAAUCCUCAGACUCCUUCAUAUCUCUACCUAUUAUCUUC
rnacentral:lncRNA from 1 species